rnacentral:rRNA from 1 species
AUUGAACGCUGGCGGCAGGCCUAACACAUGCAAGUCGAGCGGAUGAGGGGAGCUUGCUCCUGGAUUCAGCGGCGGACGGGUGAGUAAUGCCUAGGAAUCUGCCUGGUAGUGGGGGAUAACGUCCGGAAACGGGCGCUAAUACCGCAUACGUCCUGAGGGAGAAAGUGGGGGAUCUUCGGACCUCACGCUAUCAGAUGAGCCUAGGUCGGAUUAGCUAGUUGGUGGGGUAAAGGCCUACCAAGGCGACGAUCCGUAACUGGUCUGAGAGGAUGAUCAGUCACACUGGAACUGAGACACGGUCCAGACUCCUACGGGAGGCAGCAGUGGGGAAUAUGGGACAAUGGGCGAAAGCCUGAUCCAGCCAUGCCGCGUGUGUGAAGAAGGUCUUCGGAUUGUAAAGCACUUUAAGUUGGGAGGAAGGGCAGUAAGUUAAUACCUUGCUGUUUUGACGUUACCAACAGAAUAAGCACCGGCUAACUUCGUG